CAGUCGCCGCGGUAAUACGUAGGUGGCAAGCGUUGUCCGGAAUUAUUGGGCGUAAAGGGCUCGCAGGCGGUUUCUUAAGUCUGAUGUGAAAGCCCCCGGCUCAACCGGGGAGGGUCAUUGGAAACUGGGAAACUUGAGUGCAGAAGAGGAGAGUGGAAUUCUACGUGUAGCGGUGAAAUGCGUAGAGAUGUGGAGGAACACCAGUGGCGAAGGCGACUCUCUGGUCUGUAACUGACGCUGAGAGACGAAAGCUAGGGGAGCAAAUGGGAUUAGAUACCCCCGUAGUCCCUGUCUCUUAUAC
rnacentral:rRNA from 1 species